AGGCCUCUCAGGGUUUCUGG
rnacentral:miRNA from 1 species